CGCGUAGGCGGUCGGGUAAGUUGGAUGUUGAAUCACCGGGCUCAACCCGGUAACGUCGUCCAAUACUGCCCGACUAGAGGUCGGUAGGGGAGAGUGGAACUCCUGGUGGAGUGGUGAAAUGCGUAGAUAUCAGGAGGAACGUCGGCGGCGAAGGCGACUCUCUGGGCCGAAACUGACGCUGAGGUGCGAAAGCUAGGGUAGCGAACAGGAUUAGAUACCCUGGUAGUCC
rnacentral:rRNA from 1 species